GUGAGGAAUAUUGGUCAAUGGGCGGGAGCCUGAACCAGCCAAGUCGCGUGAAGGAAGAAGGAUCUAUGGUUCGUAAACUUCUUUUGCAGGGGAAUAAAGUGCAGGACGUGUCCUGUUUUGUAUAUACCCUGAGAAUAAGGAUCGGCUAACUCCGUGCCAGCAGCCGCGGUAAUACGGAGGAUCCGAGCGUUAUCCGGAUUUAUUGGGUUUAAAGGGUGCGUAGGUGGUUUGAUAAGUCAGCGGUGAAAGUUUGCAGCUUAACUGUAAAAAUGCCGUUGAAACUGUCGGACUUGAGUGUAAAUGAGGUAGGCGGAAUGCGUGGUGUAGCGGUGAAAUGCAUAGAUAUCACGCAGAACUCCGAUUGCGAAGGCAGCUUACUAAGCUACAACUGACACUGAAGCACGAAAGCGUGGGGAUCAAACAGGAUUAGAAACCCGAGUAGUCC
rnacentral:rRNA from 1 species